CUCCUACGGGGGGCAGCAGUGGGGAAUAUUGCACAAUGGGGGAAACCCUGAUGCAGCGACGCCGCGUGAGCGAGGAAGUAUUUCGGUAUGUAAAGCUCUAUCAGCAGGGAAGAAAAUGACGGUACCUGACUAAGAAGCCCCGGCUAACUACGUGCCAGCAGCCGCGGUAAUACGUAGGGGGCAAGCGUUAUCCGGAUUUACUGGGGGUAAAGGGAGCGUAGACGGUCCUGCAAGCCGGAUGUGAAAGCGCGGGG
rnacentral:rRNA from 1 species